GACGAACGCUGGCGGCGUGCUUAACACAUGCAAGUCGAACGGAAAGGCCCUGCUUUUGUGGGGUGCUCGAGUGGCGAACGGGUGAGUAACACGUGAGUAACCUGCCCUUGACUUUGGGAUAACUUCAGGAAACUGGGGCUAAUACCGGAUAGGAGCUCCUGCUGCAUGGUGGGGGUUGGAAAGUUUCGGCGGUUGGGGAUGGACUCGCGGCUUAUCAGCUUGUUGGUGGGGUAGUGGCUUACCAAGGCUUUGACGGGUAGCCGGCCUGAGAGGGUGACCGGCCACAUUGGGACUGAGAUACGGCCCAGACUCCUACGGGAGGCAGCAGUGGGGAAUAUUGCACAAUGGGCGGAAGCCUGAUGCAGCAACGCCGCGCGCGGGAUGCCGGCCUUCGGGUUGUAAACCGCUGUCGCCUGUGACGAAGCGUGAGUGACGGUAAUGGGUAAAGAAGCACCGGCUAACUACGUG
rnacentral:rRNA from 1 species